rnacentral:rRNA from 2 species
GAAACCCGGUGAUCUAGCCAUGGGCAGGUUGAAGGUUGGGUAACACUAACUGGAGGACCGAACCGACUAAUGUUGAAAAAUUAGCGGAUGACCUGUGGCUGGGGGUGAAAGGCCAAUCAAACCGGGAGAUAGCUGGUUCUCCCCGAAAGCUAUUUAGGUAGCGCCUCGUGAAUUCAUCUCCGGGGGUAGAGCACUGUUUCGGCCAGGGGGCCAUCCCGGCUUACCAAUCCGAUGCAAACUGCGAAUACCGGAGAAUGUUAUCACGGGAGACACACGGCGGGUGCUAACGUCCGUCGUGAAGAGGGAAACAACCCAGACCGCCAGCUAAGGUCCCAAAGUCAUGGUUAAGUGGGAAACGAUGUGGGAAGGCCCAGACAGCCAGGAUGUUGGCUUAGAAGCAGCCAUCAUUUAAAGAAAGCGUAAUAGCUCACUGGUCGAGUCGGCCUGCGCGGAAGAUGUAACGGGGCUAAACCAUGCACCGAAGCUGCGGCAGCGACACUGAUGUGUUGUUGGGUAGGGGAGCGUUCUGUAAGCCGUUGAAGGUGUGUCGUGAGGCAUGCUGGAGGUAUCAGAAGUGCGAAUGCUGACAUAAGUAACGAUAAAGCGGGUGAAAAGCCCGCUCGCCGGAAGACCAAGGGUUCCUGUCCAACGUUAAUCGGGGCAGGGUGAGUCGACCCCUAAGGCGAGGCCGAAAGGCGUAGUCGAUGGGAAACGGGUUAAUAUUCCCGUACUUGGUGUUACUGCGAAGGGGGGACGGAGAAGGCUAUGUUGGCCGGGCGACGGUUGUCCCGGUUUAAGCGUGUAGGUGUGUGUUCCAGGUAAAUCCGGUU